rnacentral:pre_miRNA from 13 species
GAUGGGUGGCCGCCCUCCCUGUCCUCCAGGAGCUCACGUAUGCCUGCUUGUGAGCGCCUCGAUGACAGAGCCGGCGUCCGCCUCUGUGUCUGCAGC